rnacentral:rRNA from 1 species
GUUGGGUUAAGUCCCGCAACGAGCGCAACCCUCGACCUUAGUUGCCAGCAUUCAGUUGGGCACUCUAAGGUGACUGCCGGCUAAAAGUCGGAGGAAGGUGGGGAUGACGUCAAAUCAUCAUGCCCCUUAUGACCUGGGCUACACACGUGCUACAAUGGGCGGUACAAAGGGUCGCGAACCCGCGAGGGGGAGCCAAUCCCAAAAAGCCGCUCUCAGUUCGGAUUGCAGGCUGCAACUCGCCUGCAUGAAGCCGGAAUCGCUAGUAAUCGCGGAUCAGCAUGCCGCGGUGAAUACGUUCCCGGGCCUU